rnacentral:tRNA from 1 species
AGCGAGGUGGAGCAGCGGCAGCUCGUUAGGCUCAUAACCUAAAGGUCAAGGGUUCGAAUCCCUUCCUCGCCA